GCCUGGGUGGCUCAGUCAGUUGAGUCUCUGACUUCGGUUCAGGUCAUGUCACAGUUCAUGGGUUCAAGCCCCACAUCAGGCU
rfam:Felis catus isolate Cinnamon breed Abyssinian chromosome E2, whole genome shotgun sequence.